AUGAAGCAGCAAGCAGAUAAGAAGCGGUCAGUCCGAACCUUCUCUGUGGGUGAUCAUGUCUACCUGAAGUUGCAGCCUUAUGUUCAAACAUCAGUGGUUGCACGCGCCUGUCACAAACUGGCUUUCCAAUUCUUCGAACCCUACAAAAUCAUCAACUGCAUCAACCCUGUGGCAUAUAAACUUCAGCUGCCGGAGCGCUCACAAGUGCACCCUGUGUUCCACAUUUCCCAAUUGCGCAAGGCUCUCCUCCUAGGUACAUCAGCAUCUCAAGAUCUACCUGUGCACUCUACCAUUCCUGCCGUGCCUGCAGCGAUUAUUGAUCAGCGUUGGCGCAAGCGUCGUGGUGCCAUGGUGGAGCAAGUCCUCAUACGCUGGUCCAACCCAGCAGCCGUCGCUGACUCAUGGGAGGAUCGUGUGGCGCUCCAAGCUCGCUUCCCAUCUGCAGAGGCUUGGGGUCAAGCCUCAGCUCAAGAAAGGGGGGAUGUCAGCGCCCCUGGCAACGGGACCCCUCCUGUCAGCUCGCCCGCGCCUCCAAGGCUGACACGUCCUCGCAAGCCCUGCCCAAGAGUCAGUGGGCCUAAGUGGGUGUGA
rnacentral:rRNA from 1 species